rnacentral:rRNA from 1 species
UGGGGAAUCUUGGACAAUGGGCGCAAGCCUGAUCCAGCCAUGCCGCGUGAGUGAUGAAGGCCCUAGGGUUGUAAAGCUCUUUCAACGGUGAAGAUAAUGACGGUAACCGUAGAAGAAGCCCCGGCUAACUUCGUGCCAGCAGCCGCGGUAAUACGAAGGGGGCUAGCGUUGUUCGGAUUUACUGGGCGUAAAGCGCACGUAGGCGGAUCGUUAAGUGAGGGGUGAAAUCCCAGGGCUCAACCCUGGAACUGCCUUUCAUACUGGCGAUCUGGAGUUCGAGAGAGGUGAGUGGAAUUCCGAGUGUAGAGGUGAAAUUCGUAGAUAUUUGGAGGAACACCAGUGGCGAAGGCGGCUCACUGGCUCGAUACUGACGCUGAGGUGCGAAAGUGUGGGG